AUUGAACGCUGGCGGCAUACCUUACACAUGCAAGUCGAACGGCAGCGGGGGAGAAGCUUGCUUUUCCUGCCGGCGAGUGGCGAACGGGUGAGUAAUACAUCGGAACGUGCCCUGUAGGGGGGGAUAACUAGUCGAAAGAUUAGCUAAUACCGCAUACGACCUGAGGGUGAAAGUGGGGGACCGCAAGGCCUCAUGCUAUAGGAGCGGCCGAUGUCUGAUUAGCUAGUUGGUGGGGUAAAGGCCUACCAAGGCGACGAUCAGUAGCUGGUCUGAGAGGACGUUCAGCCACACUGGGACUGAGACACGGCCCAGACUCCUACGGGAGGCAGCAGUGGGGAAUUUUGGACAAUGGGCGAAAGCCUGAUCCAGCAAUGCCGCGUGUGUGAAGAAGGCCUUCGGGUUGUAAAGCACUUUUGUCCGGAAAGAAAUGGCUCUGGUUAAUACCUGGGGUCGAUGACGGUACCGGAAGAAUAAGGACCGGCUAACUACGUGCCAGCCGCCGCCGUAA
rnacentral:rRNA from 1 species